rnacentral:tRNA from 1 species
AGGGGUGUAGCUCAAUUGGUAGAGUGCCUGCCUGGCUUGCACAAAGCUCUGGGUUCUAUUCCCAGUACUUCAU